rnacentral:rRNA from 1 species
UGGGGAAUAUUGGACAAUGGGCGCAAGCCUGAUCCAGCAAUGCCGCGUGUGUGAAGAAGGCCUUCGGGUUGUAAAGCACUUUUAUCAGGAGCGAAACGCUGUCGGCUAAUACCCGGCGGAACUGACGGUACCUGAGGAAUAAGCACCGGCUAACUUCGUGCCAGCAGCCGCGGUAAUACGAAGGGUGCAAGCGUUAAUCGGAAUUACUGGGCGUAAAGCGUGCGUAGGCGGUUUCUUAAGUCUGCUGUGAAAUCCCCGGGCUCAACCUGGGAAUGGCAGUGGAUACUGGGAGGCUAGAGUGUGUCAGAGGGUGGUGGAAUUCCCGGUGUAGCGGUGAAAUGCGUAGAGAUCGGGAGGAACAUCAGUGGCGAAGGCGGCCACCUGGGACAACACUGACGCUGAGGCACGAAAGCGUGGGGGAGCAAACAGGAUUAGGAUACCCUGGUAGUCCACGCCCUAAAACGAUGCGAACUGGAUGUUGGUCUCAACUCGGAGAUCAGUGUCGAAGCUAACGCGUUAAGUUCGCCGCCUGGGGAGUACGGUCGCAAGACUGAAACUUAAAGGAA